CGAUAAGCCCGGUGGUUUGCUCGAAUGGCUCAAGAUUGAUCUGUGAAGCUAUUUAAUAAUCUUCUUCAACGAAAGUCACAGAUCUGUUACUUUGGAUGCUUAUAGGCAAUAGGCAAAGAUCUGUGACCAGCCAAUUGGUGAAAAAUAAAAUGCAACAGAAGAAGCAAGAAAUGGAAAGAAGAGAGACAAAAAAAGGAGAAAAAUAAAAUUUUUUACGAGCUUGACAACUGUAACUAUAACCAACAUUGUUUCAGCGGCUGAGGCUGCCACUGCC
rnacentral:misc_RNA from 1 species